AUUGAACGCUGGCGGCAGGCCUAACACAUGCAAGUCGAGCGAGCGAAGGACGGGUGAGUAAUAUAUAGGAAAAUGCGUGAAGGAGGGGGAUAACUGCUGGAAAAGGUAACUAAUAAGGAAUACAAUCAGACCUGCCCAGAUGGGAUUAGUUAGUAGGUGGGGUAAUGGCUCACCAAGGCGACGAUCCCUAGCUUGGCGGAGAGGAUGACCAUCCACACUGGAACUGAGACACGGUCCAGACUCCUAUGGGAGGCAGCAGUGGGGAAUAUUGCACAAUGGGCGAAAGCCUGAGGCAGCCAUGCCGCGUGUGGGAAGAAGGCCUUCGGGUUGGAAAGCACUUUCAGCGGGGAGGCGUUACCCGCAGAAUAAGCACCGGCUAACUCCGUGCCAGCAGCCGCGGUAAUUC
rnacentral:rRNA from 1 species